rnacentral:rRNA from 1 species
UACGUAGGGUGCUAGCGUUGUCCGGAUUUAUUGGGCGUAAAGGGCUCGUAGGCGGCGUGUCGCGUCGGCUGUGAAAACCCGGGGCUCAACCCCGGGCCUGCAGUCGAUACGGGCAGACUAGAGUGCGGUAGGGGAGACUGGAAUUCCUGGUGUAGCGGUGAAAUGCGCAGAUAUCAGGAGGAACACCGGUGGCGAAGGCGGGUCUCUGGGCCGUAACUGACGCUGAGGAGCGAAAGCGUGGGGAGCGAACAGG